rnacentral:lncRNA from 1 species
GUUUUUGAUUUGACAAAUAUUACCCUGUUUAUAAUUUCACAGUUUUCGAUUUUUAUAGAACAUUGUUUUUUUGUUUAUAAACAGGAGUAUUACACUACAAAUGAAUUUGUAGUGCUAUACCAUGUCAUAUGAAUUUGUAAGGCUAUUUCAUGUCAUAUGAAUUUGUAGGACUAUUCCGGGUAAUUACACUACAAAUGAAUUUUUAGGGCUAUUUCAAGUCAUUUGAUGUUGUAAGGCUAUUUCAAGUCAUUUGAUGUUGUAGAGCUAUUUCACGUCCUAUGAUGUUGUAGGACUACUCCAGGUCAUUUGAUCAUGUAGGGCUAUUUCAAGUCAUUUGAUGUUGUAGGGCUUUUUAGGUCCUUUUUAUGUUGUAGGGCUAUUUCACGUCUUAUGAUGUUGCGGGACUAUUUCACGUCAUUUGAUGUUGUAGGGCUUUUACACGUCCUAUGAUGGUAGUAUAGUUAUUUCAAUUCAAACGACUUUGUAGGGUUAUUUCACUUCGUAUGAUUUUGUAACGCUAUUACCACUCAUUUGAUUUUGUAGGGCUAUUCAACAUUACUUGAUGUUAUAACGUCAAAUUAUUAUGCGUCAAAUUAUUAUGCAGGGUUAUUAGGGCUAUUAGGGUUAACUAUGUGUUUAGAUUAUUCGGGCUGUAAAUCUGUUAUACAUUUAACACGAGAAAUGUUAAAAUCAAAACUUGAUAACGAUACACUUAGUGAAAGUGAUUAAGCAGUAUCAAAAUAAUACCAAGAGCUGUCGGAUAACCCAUAAUAGCAUACCACCAAAUUGAUCAGUCAAUUCACAAUACAUGUUAGUUCUUUCUGUAGUACACAAAACGACAUUAGUUGUUCACACUUAAAACAGCGUGAGAAACUUAAGCUAAUUACUUAUAAAAUAUAAAAUAAACAAGACAUUGAAAACGAACAGAACGUGAAUAAAAUUAUUUAUAUAAUUUUAAAGAUUAAGUAUCACCGCAUUUAUUUAUAAUUAUUCCAUUAUCGUAUAGGCAAAACAAAGCAAUUGAGAAAAUGACUAUAUUACAAUAAAUUUUAGUGAAGUCUUAUUCACACGCAAAAAGAUCAAACUAAAGGUUGUAGUGAUACGAUCUUGAAAGGGUUGAAUUAAUGACUUGCAAGUCAAUAAUGUAUAACUGUUAUUUAAUUUAAUUUGAUGUGGUUGUACCAAACUGAUAGCUAAUAAUAGUCAGCAAGUUGUGGCCAGCAUGUUCAUUCAUUAAUUUCAACAUUGGAAAGUGAAACAGGGAAUUGCGCUUUCGCUGACUGAUAUGUCCCACAACAAAAUCAUUCUUAUACAAGCAAAACAAUCAUAUUUAUAUAUGUUUAACCAAUAACAUGUAGUCAAACAGACAAAGAAAAAAAUAAUUGCAUGUGCUUGCUAUCUAUUAAAAUCUAUGUGUAUGUUUACAUCAGAUUAUAUGAUCGUCAACAGUCCUUGGAUGGGCGUCAUCUCGAUUGAUGUUCAGAUUGCGUCUUGUCUAAUACAAGC